GUCUACGGCCAUUCUACCCUGAACAAGCCCAAUCCCAUCUGAUCUCGGAAGCGAAGCAGGUUCGAGCCUGGUUAGUCCUUGAACGGGAGACCACCUAGGAAUACCAGUUGCUGUAGGCG
rnacentral:rRNA from 1 species